rnacentral:rRNA from 1 species
GACGAACGCUGGCGGCGUGCUUAACACAUGCAAGUCGAACGGUGAAGGGAUCAGCUUGCUGGUUCUGGAUGAGUGGCGAACGGGUGAGUAACACGUGAGUAACCUGCCCCCUUCUUCUGGAUAACCGCAUGAAAGUGUGGCUAAUACGGGAUAUUCUGCGCCUGCUGCAUGGUGGGUGUGGGAAAGAUAUUGUUUCGGUGGGGGAUGGGCUCGCGGCCUAUCAGCUUGUUGGUGGGGUGAUGGCCUACCAAGGCGGUGACGGGUAGCCGGCCUGAGAGGGUGGACGGUCACACUGGGACUGAGACACGGCCCAGACUCCUACGGGAGGCAGCAGUGGGGAAUAUUGCACAAUGGGCGCAAGCCUGAUGCAGCGACGCCGCGUGAGGGAUGGAGGCCUUCGGGUUGUGAACCUCUUUCGCCAGUGAAGCAGGCCUGUCCCGUGUGGGUGGGUUGACGGUAGCUGGAUAAGAAGCGCCGGCUAACUACGUG